rnacentral:lncRNA from 1 species
UUUAAGGUAAAGAUUGUAGUAUGUUUAAAGGGCGUAUGAGUUAAUUCAACAAACCUGAAGAGAGUUGAAAUACAAAAUUUCCAUUCUUAGGGCUUUCCACUGUAUGACUUGCACAUAGUUCUUGAAAUGUUUCUCUCCUGGUUCAGAAGAGGAUGAUGGAUCUUUGACCUACUUUGUACAGUCCGGUCUGGAAAGCCAGAACUUUUGCUUGAAGAAAAGACAGGAUGCCUUGUUUAUGGAGAAAUGUUGGUGAGAUAGGAUCCGUUAAAUGUUUAUGUAUACAGAAAAAUACUUUGGAGGAAAGAAAAUGAACUCCCCUUCUAAACACUGGAGAAGAAUGAGAUGAGAUUUGGAGCAUUCCACAACUGUGGGAGAAAAGAAAUGUAAAAUGAAUAUUCAGCUAAAGAGUGUAGUAACUCAACUUGAAAUGGAAAUGUCAAAGAAUAAUUCACGCAUUUUACUGGUAACAGCAAAUCCACACAGCACAAUUUCCCAGCCCAACUGCCUGCCUGUCACUAUGUAAGUUCUUUGUAGUGGUUGUUUGCUUAUCAGCAUGUUGGAUUUGUAACCUUAUAAUUUGUGUUUUGCUUGACUUUAACGGAGUUAAAUAUAGCUUUGAAGAGCUGUCAGCUAGGCUUCAUUAGGGAACAGCAUUGUUACCUUCAGCAUUGGCAAUGGUUUUGCAUUGGUUCAAAAGCUUUACCUGUACCUGUUCCUUAACUGGCAACAUGUCUUAGAUGUCUUAGAACAUCUGAACCAUCGGUGUAAGAUCUGAGGACUGACAUACAUUAAUGUUAGGUUAGCUCUUGAAAUUGCAUGCAGUUUUACAUCUACUCAGUUAAGUAAAAUUAAAUAAUUUAAUAUAUAUAUAUAUAUAACAGGAGGUUAAAAUGCAGUUGAACAUGUUGAAAAUAAUGUUCAACCACAGUUUACAAUCACAGUUUAAACCGUAAGUUUCAACUGUAACAUGGUUGCAAAGUGUUCUAGAAAUCAUAAACAUGCAAUAGAAAUAGAAUCUCCUGUCUAAUUGCUGUGAGACAUUGAAACCAAUGUGUCUCAUUUUGUGAUGAAAAGUAUAUUCAGAAUCAGGCAGCAAAUCAUGAGAGAGGAUGAAAAGUAAUUAAUGGUUCUAGCUAUCUGGCUGUAGGACUUCUAAAUGUCACUUUAUUUACCUUUUUGUCUAUUUAAAUGAGCUUCUUGCAGAAUAUUGUUACUUCCAUAUGUGAAACUGAACAGAAACUAUCACAAAUCUCAGAAUAAUCUGUGAGGUGUGCAGUGUAGCUUAGUCACUUAUUUCUAAUUCAGUGGUAAGAUAUAUGCAAGGUAAAUGUAUUUUACCUACUUCAUAAAGAAUUUUUUAUUAGUAGGUAUGUGUGCAUUAUUAUUCUUUAUUAAUAUCUUGAUGGUAGUCUGUUUCUGGAACUAAUAUUUAGCUAAACAUAUAAGACUAUCUAACCUUUGGCAGCCUGUAUUUCUCUCCUUAAUUUGAAGAGAGAGUUUGAAAUGCCAUUUGAGGUUCAGGC